UACGUAGGGGGCAAGCGUUGUCCGGAAUUAUUGGGCGUAAAGGGUGCGUAGGCGGCCUUUCAAGUUGGAUGUGAAAUCCCCGUGCUUAACAUGGGAACUGCAUCCAAAACUGGAGGGCUUGAGUGUGGAAGAGGUAAGUGGAAUUCCCAGUGUAGCGGUGAAAUGCGUAGAUAUUGGGAGGAACACCAGUGGCGAAGGCGACUUACUGGGCCACAACUGACGCUGAGGCACGAAAGCGUGGGGAGCAAACAGG
rnacentral:rRNA from 1 species